GCAAAACGCGAAGAACCUUACCAACCCUUGACAUGGAGGGGACCGUUCCAGAGAUGGUUCUUUCACUUCGGUGACCCCUCACACAGGUGCUGCAUGGCUGUCGUCAGCUCGUGUCGUGAGAUGUUCGGUUAAGUCCGGCAACGAGCGCAACCCACACUUUCAGUUGCCAGCAUUCAGUUGGGCACUCUGAAAGAACUGCCGGUGAUAAGCCGGAGGAAGGUGUGGAUGACGUCAAGUCCUCAUGGCCCUUACGGGUUGGGCUACACACGUGCUACAAUGGCAGUGACAAUGGGCUAAUACCCAAAAAGCUGUCUCAGUUCGGAUUGGGGUCUGCAACUCGACCCCAUGAAGUCGGAAUCGCUAGUAAUCGCGUAACAGCAUGACGCGGUGAAUACGUUCCCGGGUCUUGUACACACCG
rnacentral:rRNA from 1 species